rnacentral:tRNA from 1 species
UCCGGCGUGGUCUAGUGGCUACGAUAUCUGGCUUUCACCCAGAAGGCCCGGGUUCGAUUCCCGGCGUCGGAA